GAUGAACGCUGGCGGCGUGCCUAAUACAUGCAAGUCGAGCGAACAGACGAGGCGCUUGCUCCUCUGACGUUAGCGGCGGACGGGAGAGUAACACGUGGAUAACCCACCUAUAAGACGGGGAUAACUUCGGGAAAGCGGAGCUAAUACCGGAUAAUAUAUUGAACCGCGUGGGUCAAUAGUGAGAGACGGCGUUGGUGUCACUUAUAGAGGGAUACGCGCCGGAUUGGCGAGUUGGUAAGGUCACGGCUUACCAAGGCAACGAUGCGUAGACGACCUGAGAGACUGGUCGCCCACCUUAGAAGUGAGACACCCUCCAUGCUCCUGAGGUAGGCCGCAGACGCGAAUCUUCCGCAGCAGUCGAAAGCCUGACAGAGCAACGCGGCGCGAGUUGUGACGAUCUUCGGAUCGUAAUACUCUGUUAUUAGGUAUAAACAGAUGUGUCCGUUGCCAUGCACGUCUUGACGGUACCUAAUCAGAAAGCCACGGCUAACUACGUG
rnacentral:rRNA from 1 species